GACGUAGGGCGCGAGCGUUGUCCGGAUUUAUUGGGCGUAAAGAGCUCGUAGGCGGCUUGUCGCGUCGACCGUGAAAACUUGGGGCUCAACCCCAAGCCUGCGGUCGAUACGGGCAGGCUCGAGUUCGGUAGGGGAGACUGGAAUUCCUGGUGUAGCAGUGAAAUGCGCAGAUAUCAGGAGGAACACCGAUGGCGAAGGCAGGUCUCUGGGCCGAUACUGACGCUGAGGAGCGAAAGCGUGGGGAGCGAACAGG
rnacentral:rRNA from 1 species